AUCUAUUCGAGGUCCGUUUCAAGGUGUCGGAAUGGUGGUAAUACGGUUGUUGUUGUUGUUGUUGUUGUUUCUUAUAGUGGUGAUAGUUUGAAUUUGUGCUCUCAGAGAGUGGGAGGUCUGUGUCUAGGUGGAAUGACGGUGAUGGUGAUGGUGCUGGUAGUGCAGCUAGGGAUGUUCCGAAUGGUGAUUUGAGGAGGACGUAGUCUAUUUUGGUUGCUCAACAUGAGAUUAGUGACUCUGAGGUAUAAUUUGAUACCUAAUUUAGUUAAUUUUAUGUUGUUGCUGUGUUUGUAGACUGUUUACAUGAGGUGUUAGUGAAAUUAAGUGUGUUUGUUUAGUGCUUUUGGUUUAUUUAUUAAGAAUAAUAAUGCUAAUUAUUAAGAGAAUUUCAAACCCCAGAAUGAACACCUGGUUUGCCGAGAGUUCUUUCCUUUCAAACAUGAGAUGGCUUGUGUUCUCUACAAGAGAAAACAUUCAUGUAUAUAGAAAAAGAUGCCAAGAAUGAUAAUUUGUCCCUUUCAAACAUGAGGUUCUGUUUGUUGACGGUCUCCUUCACUCGAUGGACCAUGUAAUUGUCUUCUCCGAUUUAGUUUGGAUGAGUUGUUGGUUGAUUGUGUUCUUCCUUUGAUGCUUUUAAUUUUCGUGUUUUGUGGGUUUUUAGGUUAGAUAUUGAUUAUUAUUGUUUAUUUUUUGGUUUCGGUUCAUGCUUGCUUUGUUUUUAUGGGGUUCUUUUGAUGAAGUGAUGAAGAAGAAACUCUUUUUGGUUUGUGAUGAUAAUCAACUCUUUUUGGUUUGUGAUGAUAAUCUGUUAGUUCUUUUUGGCCAAUAAUAUAACCAAUUGUCCUGGCUAGGAUGAUGUGUUGUAUGUGUCUGAGCCUAUGCAUCCCCUUUUGUUUGAUGAAAUUGGAUGGUUGAAGGGUCCAAAGAGCACCCUUUUACCCCUGGGUUUGCUAAAUUGUAACGAGGUGUGUGAUAAACUGAAUUCGUAUAAUCUAAUGGAGCAAUUUUGGAUCUCAAUGUAGUCUGAUUUCUGGUAAUUAGCGAUGAGUUGAUAAUGGUUGCUAUGAAGCGUCGUUUGGAUGCCAGUUUGGUACUUUUAAUGAUAUCAACGGAUGAGUCUAAUGGGUGUGAUGCUGAGUUUCAAUGACAUAUAUAACUGAGCUCGCUUUCACCUGGUAGCCUCUCGGUAUGCAGCCAUGACUGAUAUGUAAUAUCUCAUAGCUUGGCUUGGCAUUCAAGUUGGUUUGGCCUCUGACACGAGCUCCCCUUGGUGUAAGCCAGUUUCAAUGGUCAAUGUUCUGAUGGGCUAGCUUAUGAUGUAAAAAAGGUCCAUCUAUGGCCCCUCUCAAACCCUGUCAAUUAUUAAUGAUAAAAAAAAAAUAAACAAACAAACAAACAUACUUCCAUAGCUAGAGGUGUACGUUUCAAAUGCCCUCAAAUCUGUUGACCUUUAUUUGGCAAAAUAUAGUUUCUAGAUGGGUGUUAAGGUGGAGGUGCGGAUGUUUGAAAUUCGAAUAAACAUGAUGAAGUUUAUUAUUUAAGUUUCUGUCUUUCUACUAUGUGCUUUCAUAGGUGCAAUAUCAAGUUUAAACCGUGGCGAAGCAAGGGCACACCAACUAGUUAUAUUAAAACCAGCCCUUGCCAGAGGUGAAUAUUCGAAGAAAGAUUAAAGAAGUUAAUGGAAGAAAUAAAACAAAGUGACGAUAUCAUUCUUUUUAUUGAUGAGGUUCACACUUUAAUUGGAGUUGGAUGCAGAAGGUGCUAUUGAUGCUGCUAAUAUAUUUAAACCAGCCCUUGCCAGAGGUGAAUUGCAGAAGCAAACAACUUGUAUUUGGAAAUGAAGCACUUCUAUAAUUUUGGUAUUUUUAUAAUUUUAUUUUGGUACUAACCAUUGCUUUAGGCUACAUAUAUUCACUUUGUUUUUUUGAAGUUAUUUAGUUUAUCUCUUUUAAUUGAUGCAUCUUACGCGGCAAUGUUUUGGGGCUACAACACAUGAUCACACGUAACUGUUGCUUAAAACCAGAAAGUCAAAAUAACAAUUUUUUUAAACCAACUCGUUCUGACCCGAACCCGUUCGGGCCCUAACAAAAAUAACAUUUUUUUGACCCGAACCUGUUUUGAGCCAAACACGUUCCGACCCAAACCCGUUUUCACCCGAACAAAAAUAAUCUUUUUUUUUAAUCGACCCAUUUUGACCCGCAACCCAAACCCACACAACCCGACUUGUUUGACGGACUUAGUUCAGCGGAAACUAUCAUGACGAUCCAGUUGGUUUCUUUCUCAUGCUGAGGUGCAAAUGAGGUCUGGGAGAAUUCCAGUUUGGCAAAGUCCAGGAUAUAUUUCUAUGUGAUGACCCCACUGUUAUGUGAAGAGUUGAAUGACAGUGGGGGAGGUCGAUAUUGGAACAAGCAAUCGCUGAAAUUGAACACACAAAAGUGUUGGCCUAUAUAACUGCCCCGAAGAAGCUUUUUAAUUGUUAUUGGAAUGGCUGGACUGGAGUGCUUGAUUAUUUAUUUUUAUAACAUCAUGUUUUCAUGUUUCCAUAUAAUUGCUCACGAGUUUGUUGGCAUGCCAAGUUAUGUAACAUAUCACCACUUUAUGCUAGAGUUUGUUUAUACA